rnacentral:lncRNA from 1 species
GAGCAGUGUCAGCGGCAUCCCUGUUCUGGAAGGUCUCAGAGGAGUACCCAGGACUGGGGAGUCCAAUGCCUGCCGCCUUUUCUGGAGCACUUUAUUGACCUUUGGCUGUGUGCCACGCUCUGUGCUCCAUACUGUGGGUAACAGCUUCAGCAAAGAAUUUGACCUCAAGCAAGAUGAACUCCAAAUAACGCAUAAAGUAACAUCAACAUGAUGCAGUGUGUGUGAAACAGAUCUCGGUCCCGUAAGAGCAAAAGAGAAGGACAAAUCAGAUCAUCACACGGGAUGUCUUUUUUGUGCGAUUUUGCAUUUUCCCAUUCAAAACAAAAAAUAAAUAAUAAAUUUGAAGCUA